rnacentral:rRNA from 1 species
GGGUUGUGAGGUUAAGCGACUAAGCGUACACGGUGGAUGCCCUGGCAGUCAGAGGCGAUGAAGGACGUGCUAAUCUGCGAUAAGCGUCGGUAAGGUGAUAUGAACCGUUAUAACCGGCGAUUUCCGAAUGGGGAAACCCAGUGUGAUUCGUCACACUAUCAUUAACUGAAUCCAUAGGUUAAUGAGGCGAACCGGGGGAACUGAAACAUCUAAGUACCCCGAGGAAAAGAAAUCAACCGAGAUUCCCCCAGUAGCGGCGAGCGAACGGGGAGCAGCCCAGAGCCUGAAUCAGUGUGUGUGUUAGUGGAAGCGUCUGGAAAGGCGCGCGAUACAGGGUGACAGCCCCGUACACAAAAAUGCACAUAUUGUGAGCUCGAUGAGUAGGGCGGGACACGUGGUAUCCUGUCUGAAUAUGGGGGGACCAUCCUCCAAGGCUAAAUACUCCUGACUGACCGAUAGUGAACCAGUACCGUGAGGGAAAGGCGAAAAGAACCCCGGCGAGGGGAGUGAAAAAGAACCUGAAACCGUGUACGUACAAGCAGUGGGAGCCUCUUUAUGGGGUGACUGCGUACCUUUUGUAUAAUGGGUCAGCGACUUAUAUUCUGUAGCAAGGUUAACCGAAUAGGGGAGCCGAAGGGAAACCGAGUCUUAACUGGGCGUUAAGUUGCAGGGUAUAGACCCGAAACCCGGUGAUCUAGCCAUGGGCAGGUUGAAGGUUGGGUAACACUAACUGGAGGACCGAACCGACUAAUGUUGAAAAAUUAGCGGAUGACUUGUGGCUGGGGGUGAAAGGCCAAUCAAACCGGGAGAUAGCUGGUUCUCCCCGAAAGCUAUUUAGGUAGCGCCUCGUGAAUUCAUCUCCGGGGGUAGAGCACUGUUUCGGCAAGGGGGUCAUCCCGACUUACCAACCCGAUGCAAACUGCGAAUACCGGAGAAUGUUAUCACGGGAGACACACGGCGGGUGCUAACGUCCGUCGUGAAGAGGGAAACAACCCAGAUCGCCAGCUAAGGUCCCAAAGUCAUGGUUAAGUGGGAAACGAUGUGGGAAGGCCCAGACAGCCAGGAUGUUGGCUUAGAAGCAGCCAUCAUUUAAAGAAAGCGUAAUAGCUCACUGGUCGAGUCGGCCUGCGCGGAAGAUGUAACGGGGCUAAACCAUGCACCGAAGCUGCGGCAGCGACGCUUAUGCGUUGUUGGGUAGGGGAGCGUUCUGUAAGCCUGUGAAGGUGUGCUGUGAGGCAUGCUGGAGGUAUCAGAAGUGCGAAUGCUGACAUAAGUAACGAUAAAGCGGGUGAAAAGCCCGCUCGCCGGAAGACCAAGGGUUCCUGUCCAACGUUAAUCGGGGCAGGGUGAGUCGACCCCUAAGGCGAGGCCGAAAGGCGUAGUCGAUGGGAAACAGGUUAAUAUUCCUGUACUUGGUGUUACUGCGAAGGGGGGACGGAGAAGGCUAUGUUGGCCGGGCGACGGUUGUCCCGGUUUAAGCGUGUAGGCUGGUUUUCCAGGCAAAUCCGGAAAAUCAAGGCUGAGGCGUGAUGACGAGGCACUACGGUGCUGAAGCAACAAAUGCCCUGCUUCCAGGAAAAGCCUCUAAGCAUCAGGUAACAUCAAAUCGUACCCCAAACCGACACAGGUGGUCAGGUAGAGAAUACCAAGGCGCUUGAGAGAACUCGGGUGAAGGAACUAGGCAAAAUGGUGCCGUAACUUCGGGAGAAGGCACGCUGAUAUGUAGGUGAAGCGACUUGCUCGUGGAGCUGAAAUCAGUCGAAGAUACCAGCUGGCUGCAACUGUUUAUUAAAAACACAGCACUGUGCAAACACGAAAGUGGACGUAUACGGUGUGACGCCUGCCCGGUGCCGGAAGGUUAAUUGAUGGGGUCAGCGCAAGCGAAGCUCUUGAUCGAAGCCCCGGUAAACGGCGGCCGUAACUAUAACGGUCCUAAGGUAGCGAAAUUCCUUGUCGGGUAAGUUCCGACCUGCACGAAUGGCGUAAUGAUGGCCAGGCUGUCUCCACCCGAGACUCAGUGAAAUUGAACUCGCUGUGAAGAUGCAGUGUACCCGCGGCAAGACGGAAAGACCCCGUGAACCUUUACUAUAGCUUGACACUGAACAUUGAGCCUUGAUGUGUAGGAUAGGUGGGAGGCUUUGAAGUGUGGACGCCAGUCUGCAUGGAGCCGACCUUGAAAUACCACCCUUUAAUGUUUGAUGUUCUAACGUUGACCCGUGAUCCGGGUUGCGGACAGUGUCUGGUGGGUAGUUUGACUGGGGCGGUCUCCUCCUAAAGAGUAACGGAGGAGCACGAAGGUUGGCUAAUCCUGGUCGGACAUCAGGAGGUUAGUGCAAUGGCAUAAGCCAGCUUGACUGCGAGCGUGACGGCGCGAGCAGGUGCGAAAGCAGGUCAUAGUGAUCCGGUGGUUCUGAAUGGAAGGGCCAUCGCUCAACGGAUAAAAGGUACUCCGGGGAUAACAGGCUGAUACCGCCCAAGAGUUCAUAUCGACGGCGGUGUUUGGCACCUCGAUGUCGGCUCAUCACAUCCUGGGGCUGAAGUAGGUCCCAAGGGUAUGGCUGUUCGCCAUUUAAAGUGGUACGCGAGCUGGGUUUAGAACGUCGUGAGACAGUUCGGUCCCUAUCUGCCGUGGGCGCUGGAGAACUGAGGGGGGCUGCUCCUAGUACGAGAGGACCGGAGUGGACGCAUCACUGGUGUUCGGGUUGUCAUGCCAAUGGCACUGCCCGGUAGCUAAAUGCGGAAGAGAUAAGUGCUGAAAGCAUCUAAGCACGAAACUUGCCCCGAGAUGAGUUCUCCCUGACUCCUUGAGAGUCCUGAAGGAACGUUGAAGACGACGACGUUGAUAGGCCGGGUGUGUAAGCGCAGCGAUGCGUUGAGCUAACCGGUACUAAUGAACCGUGAGGCUUAACCUUACAACGCCGAAG